GCAUGGUUCGAAAUUGAAAGGCGGCUUCGGCUGUCACUUAUGGAUGGACCCGCGUCGCAUUAGCUAGUUGGUGAGGUAACGGCUCACCAAGGCAACGAUGCGUAGCCGACCUGAGAGGGUGAUCGGCCACACUGGGACUGAGACACGGCCCAGACUCCUACGGGAGGCAGCAGUAGGGAAUCUUCCGCAAUGGACGAAAGUCUGACGGAGCAACGCCGCGUGAGUGAUGAAGGCUUUCGGGUCGUAAAACUCUGUUGUUAGGGAAGAACAAGUGCUAGUUGAAUAAGCUGGCACCUUGACGGUACCUAACCAGAAAGCCACGGCUAACUACGUGCCAGCAGCCGCGGUAAUACGUAGGUGGCAAGCGUUAUCCGGAAUUAUUGGGCGUAAAGCGCGCGCAGGUGGUUUCUUAAGUCUGAUGUGAAAGCCCACGGCUCAACCGUGGAGGGUCAUUGGAAACUGGGAGACUUGAGUGCAGAAGAGGAAAGUGGAAUUCCAUGUGUA
rnacentral:rRNA from 1 species